rnacentral:rRNA from 1 species
GACGAACGCUGGCGGCGUGCUUAACACAUGCAAGUCGAACGGAAAGGCCCCCAUCUUGGUGGGGGUGCUCGAGUGGCGAACGGGUGAGUAACACGUGGGUGAUCUGCCCUGUACUUCGGGAUAAGCUUGGGAAACUGGGUCUAAUACCGGAUAGGACCAUGGUUUAGUGUCUCAUGGUGGAAAGAUUAUUGUUUUGGUACAGGAUGAGCUCGCGGCCUAUCAGCUUGUUGGUGGGGUAAUGGCCUACCAAGGCGUCGACGGGUAGCCGGCCUGAGAGGGUGGACGGCCACAUUGGGACUGAGAUACGGCCCAGACUCCUACGGGAGGCAGCAGUGGGGAAUAUUGCACAAUGGGCGCAAGCCUGAUGCAGCGACGCCGCGUGGGGGAUGACGGCCUUCGGGUUGUAAACUCCUUUCGUUAGGGACGAAGCCGCACUUUUUUUGGGUGUGGUGACGGUACCUUUGUUAAGAAGCACCGGCUAACUACGUG